GAUGAACGCUGGCGGCGUGCCUAAUACAUGCAAGUCGAGCGAACAGACGAGGAGCUUGCUCCUCUGACGUUAGCGGCGGACGGGUGAGUAACACGUGGAUAACCUACCUAUAAGACUGGGAUAACUUCGGGAAACCGGAGCUAAUACCGGAUAAUAUAUUGAACCGCAUGGUUCAAUAGUGAAAGACGGUUUUGCUGUCACUUCUAGCUGGAUCCGCGCCGCAUUAGCUAGUUGGUAAGGUAACGGCUUACCAAGGCAACGAUGCGUAGCCGACCUGAGAGGGGGAUCGGCCACACGGGAACGGAGACACGGUCCAGACGCCUGCGGGAGGCAGCAGUAGGGAAUCUGACGCAAUGGGCGAAAGCCUGACGGAGCAACGCCGCGUGAGUGAUGAAGGUCUUCGGAUCGUAAAACUCUGUUAUUAGGGAAGAACAAAUGUGUAAGUAACUAUGCACGUCUUGACGGUACCUAAUCAGAAAGCCACGGCUAACUACGUG
rnacentral:rRNA from 1 species